UACGUAGGGUGCAAGCGUUAAUCGGAAUUACUGGGCGUAAAGCGUGCGCAGGCGGUUUCGUAAGUCUGGCGUGAAAUCCCCGGGCUUAACCUGGGAAUGGCGAUGGAGACUGCGAGGCUAGAGUUUGGCAGAGGGGGGUAGAAUUCCACGUGUAGCAGUGAAAUGCGUAGAGAUGUGGAGGAACACCGAUGGCGAAGGCAGCCCCCUGGGUCAAAACUGACGCUCAUGCACGAAAGCGUGGGGAGCAAACAGG
rnacentral:rRNA from 1 species